GAGUACUUCGCUAAGUUCGAGUAUGUAGUUGCUCGACUUCGAUCGAUUCGGAUGCUCACCAGAAGUGUUCCCGCUACACCACGCUUCUUCCUCUUCUCUUCCGGACGAUACGGUCCCAACUUCCGGCGCACCAUAACACCUCGCCACCACGCUUGAAUCUUGAUGGCACUGGUACGUUCGUGCUCUUCCCGUUCUCUCCGUUUCCUUAUGGCCUCUUUUUCAGCCAGAAAACUUCGGAGACUCGUUUUCCAUUAUUGCACGUGAAAGGGUCGGAGAGAAAAAUGUUACGAUUGUACGUAAAAGUGUAAUACCGUACGGGGAUACAAAAAUGAAGCACCGUAAAAAAUUAUAUUAGCCCAUAGAAGAUUAUUUGGAUAUGUUUUAUUAUUAUUUAGAAUGAUAUUAAAUAUACUUAGUUAACCGUA